rnacentral:rRNA from 1 species
AGGUCUUCGGAUGCUGACGAGUGGCGAACGGGUGAGUAAUACAUCGGAACGUGCCCAGUAAUGGGGGAUAGCUCGGCGAAAGCCGGAUUAAUACCGCAUACGCCCUGAGGGGGAAAGUGGGGGACCGCAAGGCCUCACGUUAUUGGAGCGGCCGAUGGCUGAUUAGCUAGUUGGUAGGGUAAAGGCCUACCAAGGCGACGAUCAGUAGCUGGUCUGAGAGGACGAUCAGCCACACUGGGACUGAGACACGGCCCAGACUCCUACGGGAGGCAGCAGUGGGGAAUUUUGGACAAUGGGGGAAACCCUGAUCCAGCAAUGCCGCGUGUGCGAAGAAGGCCUUCGGGUUGUAAAGCACUUUUGUCAGGGAAGAAAUCCUUUGGGCUAAUACCCUAGGGGGAUGACGGUACCUGAAGAAUAAGCACCGGCUAACUACGUGCCAGCAGCCGCGGUAAUACGUAGGGUGCAAGCGUUAAUCGGAAUUACUGGGCGUAAAGCGUGCGCAGGCGGUUGUGUAAGACAGGUGUGAAAUCCCCGGGCUUAACCUGGGAAUUGCAUUUGUGACUGCACGACUAGAGUGUGUCAGAGGGGGGUGGAAUUCCACGUGUAGCAGUGAAAUGCGUAGAUAUGUGGAGGAACACCAAUGGCGAAGGCAGCCCCCUGGGAUAACACUGACGCUCAUGCACGAAAGCGUGGGGAGCAAA